rnacentral:rRNA from 1 species
AUUGAACGCUGGCGGCGUGCUUAACACAUGCAAGUCGAUCGGUAACAGGUGUAGCAAUACAUGCUGACGAGAGGCGGACGGGUGAGGAACGCUUGGGAAUCUGCCUAUCAGCGGGGGACAACCCGGGAAAACUCGGGCUAAUACCGCAUACGCUCUACGGAGGAAAGCCGGGGCCCGCAAGGCCUGGCACCGAUAGAGGAGCCCAAGUCGGAUUAGCUAGUUGGCGGGGUAACGGCCCACCAAGGCGACGAUCCGUAGCUGGUCUGAGAGGACGAUCAGCCACACCGGAACUGAGACACGGUCCGGACUCCUACGGGAGGCAGCAGUGGGGAAUAUUGGACAAUGGGGGAAACCCUGAUCCAGCGACGCCGCGUGGGUGAAGAAGGCCUGCGGGUUGUAAAGCCCUUUCGGUAGGGAAGAAAUCUCUUGCUCUAACAAAGCAGGAGUUUGACUUAACCUACAUAAGAAGCACCGGCUAACUCUGUGCCAGCAGCCGCAGUAAUAC